UACGUAGGGUGCGAGCGUUGUCCGGAAUUAUUGGGCGUAAAGAGCUCGUAGGCGGUGUGUCACGUCGGCCGUGAAAACCUGCAGCUUAACUGUGGGCGUGCGGUCGAUACGGGCAUCACUGGAGUUCGGCAGGGGAGACUGGAAUUCCUGGUGUAGCGGUGAAAUGCGCAGAUAUCAGGAGGAACACCGAUGGCGAAGGCAGAUCUCUGGGCCGUAACUGACGCUGAGGAGCGAAAGCAUGGGGAGCGAACAGG
rnacentral:rRNA from 1 species